GUGCCAGCGGCGUCCUGGGAUGAGCACUCACAUCACUCUGAAGGUCGUAGGCUUUGCGGGCCUGGAUGACAUCACUGGAGUCCGGCAUACAGGUCCAGUUGUGCAGGCGGGUUCUGUAGAUGUUGUCAUUGACUUGAAUCUGGCACUUCUUGGCCAGUUCGAACUGCAGCAUGUCCACCGGCAGGUUGAACUUGGUCUUGGACUUGUUGAAGUCCUUCUUGUACAGGGCGUCGCUGGCGAUCCGGGCGGAGUUCAGGGCCAGCAUGAUCAGAGGGUCGUAGGCCUUUCUGGCCUGGACCACGUCGGUGGAGUCCGGCAGGCAGGUCCACUGGUGCAAGUGGGUCCUGUAGUUGAAGUCGUUCACUUGCUGUUGGCACUUCUUGGCCAGCUCGAUGGUCAGCAUGUCCACCGGCAGGUUGAACUUUGUCUUGGACUUGUUGAAGUCCUUCUUGUACAGGGCGUCACUGGCGAUCUUGGCUGAGUUGAGAGCCAGCACGAUCAGAGGGUCGUCGUGGACGCUGAGGGCUCCGAUGUGAUGGCCCACCUGUUUACGGUACCCUGCGUGGUACUUGUACUGAUGAUAUCAGCAGAAAGUGUUUAGUCAGAGAUUAAACAACCCCUCACAAAAUGCCUUAUUCCAG
ensembl:lncRNA